UUAUAAGUUCACCCAGGCUUGUACAGCUGGGGACUGACAACCCUUUGAUUUCCGACUCUGUUGCCUCCGGGGCGACCCUGCCUUCGGGCGGGGGCUCCGGGUGGACACUUCAAACUCUUGCGUAACUUUGCAGUCUGAGUAAACUUAAUUAAUAAAUUAAAACUUUUAACAACGGAUCUCUUGGUUCUGGCAUCGAUGAAGAACGCAGCGAAAUGCGAUAAGUAAUGUGAAUUGCAGAAUUCAGUGAAUCAUCGAAUCUUUGAACGCACAUUGCGCCCCCUGGUAUUCCGGGGGGCAUGCCUGUUCGAGCGUCAUUUCACCACUCAAGCCUCGCUUGGUAUUGGGCAACGCGGUCCGCCGCGUGCCUCAAAUCGUCCGGCUGGGUCUUCUGUCCCCUAAGCGUUGUGGAAACUAUUCGCUAAAGGGUGUUCGGGAGGCUACGCCGUAAAACAACCCCAUUUCUAAGGUUGACCUCGGAUCAGGUAGGGAUACCCGCUGAACUUAAGCAUAUCAAUAAGCGGAGGAAAAGAAACCAACAGGGAUUGCUCUAGUAACGGCGAGUGAAGCAGCAAUAGCUCAAAUUUGAAAUCUGGCGUCUUCGACGUCCGAGUUGUAAUUUGUAGAGGAUGCUUCUGAGUGGCCACCGACCUAAGUUCCUUGGAACAGGACGUCAUAGAGGGUGAGAAUCCCGUAUGCGGUCGGAAAGGCGCUCUAUACGUAGCUCCUUCGACGAGUCGAGUUGUUUGGGAAUGCAGCUCUAAAUGGGAGGUAAAUUUCUUCUAAAGCUAAAUAUUGGCCAGAGACCGAUAGCGCACAAGUAGAGUGAUCGAAAGAUGAAAAGCACUUUGGAAAGAGAGUUAAAAAGCACGUGAAAUUGUUAAAAGGGAAGGGAUUGCAACCAGACUUGCUCGCGGUGUUCCGCCGGUCUUCUGACCGGUCUACUCGCCGCGUUGCAGGCCAGCAUCGUCUGGUGCCGCUGGAUAAGACUUGAGGAAUGUAGCUCCCUCGGGAGUGUUAUAGCCUCUUGUGAUGCAGCGAGCGCC
rnacentral:rRNA from 1 species